rnacentral:rRNA from 1 species
CUCUUCUUGUAUUUUAAUAUGAGGUAUAACCUGCUCAAUGAAUAUUUAAAUGGCCGCGGUAUACUGACCGUGCAAAGGUAGCAUAAUCAUUAGUCCUUUAAUUGUGGGCUGGAAUGAAUGGUUGGACGAGAUAAUAACUUUCUUAUAUUUAUUUAUUUGAAUUUAAUUAUUGUGUUAAAAAGCUCAAAUUUUUUUUUGGGACGAGAAGACCCUAUAGAGUUUAAUAUUUAAUAUAUUUUUAAAUGUUUGAUAUAUUGUGAAUUAAAUUAAGUAUUUUGUUGGGGUGAUGUAAAGAUAUAAUUAACUCUUUAUAAUUAAUUGUUUAUUAAUUAAUAUUUUUUUGAUCCAUUUUUAGUGAUUGAAAGUCUAAAUUACCUUAGGGAUAACAGCGUAAUUUUUUUUGAGAGUUCUUAUCAACAAAUAAGGAUUGCGA